rnacentral:rRNA from 1 species
GUAGGAUAGAGGCCUACCAUGGUUUUGACGGGUAACGGGGAAUUAGGGUUCGAUUCCGGAGAGGGAGCCUGAGAAACGGCUACCACAUCCAAGGAAGGCAGCAGGCGCGCAAAUUACCCAAUCCCGACACGGGGAGGUAGUGACAAUAAAUAACAAUACGGGGUUCUUUAGGAUUUCGUAAUUGGAAUGAGUACAAUUUAAAUCUCUUAACGAGGAACAAUUGGAGGGCAAGUCUGGUGCCAGCAGCCGCGGUAAUUCCAGCUCCAAUAGCGUAUAUUAAAGUUGUUGCAGUUAAAAAGCUCGUAGUUGAAUUUCGGGAUCAAUAUGUUGGUCGUGCCUCGGUACGUACUAGCAUAUUGGUUUCUCCUUUCUGAAGAACCAUGAUGUCAUUUAUUUGGUGUCGUGGGGAAUCAGGACUGUUACUUUGAAAAAAUUAGAGUGUUUAAAGCAGGCUCACGCUUGAAUACAUUAGCAUGGAAUAAUGAAAUAGGACGUUUGAUUCUAUUUUGUUGGUUUCUAGGAUCGACGUAAUGAUUAAUAGGGAUAGUUGGGGGCAUUAGUAUUCAAUUGUCAGAGGUGAAAUUCUUGGAUUUAUUGAAGACUAACUACUGCGAAAGCAUUUGCCAAGGAUGUUUUCAUUAAUCAAGAACGAAAGUUAGGGGAUCGAAGACGAUCAGAUACCGUCGUAGUCUUAACCAUAAACUAUGCCGACUAGGGAUCGGAUGAUGUUAAUUUUUUAAUGACUCAUUCGGCGCCUUACGGGAAACCAAAGUGUUUGGGUUC